rnacentral:rRNA from 1 species
UACGUAGGGUGCAAGCGUUAAUCGGAAUUACUGGGCGUAAAGCGUGCGCAGGCGGUUCUAUAAGACAGAUGUGAAAUCCCCGGGCUCAACCUGGGAACUGCAUUUGUGACUGUAGAGCUGGAGUACGGUAGAGGGGGAUGGAAUUCCGCGUGUAGCAGUGAAAUGCGUAGAUAUGCGGAGGAACACCGAUGGCGAAGGCAAUCCCCUGGACCUGUACUGACGCUCAUGCACGAAAGCGUGGGGAGCAAACAGGG